rnacentral:tRNA from 1 species
GCCGGGCUGGCGCAAUGGUAGCGCGCAAGACUUCUAUCGCUUAGCUUAGUUUGACAUCUUGAGGCUCUGGGUUCGAGCCCCAGGUUCGGUG